ensembl:lncRNA
GAAGGGACAGAUACAGUGUCAAGGAGGACAGGUGGAGAAGGGACAGAUACAGUGUCAAGGUAGACAGGUGGAGAAGGGACAGAUACAGUGGUCAAGGGGGACAGGUACAGUGUCAAGGUAGACAGGUGGAGAAGGGACAGAUACAGUGGUCAAGGACUAGUGUGAGACCGGGCCAUGAGAGAGGGAGAUCACUUUUGAAGAAGAAUCAUUUUCAACAUGCAUACAGACAGAUUAGAGGUAAAUUCACUUAUAUCUUAAACAACACAGUCUUACAUUUAAAUGGCAUGUUCUUGUAUACUAAUAAUGAUAUGAAAUCAAAGUUGAAGAACGGACCGGAAGACGUAGUCAGGAUUUCUGGAGUUUAUUUCAGCGUGGAGACCCCCUCUCAGCUGGUGCUCAGAGAAUGGCCUAACUAAUUGUCGAAUAUGUUGGCAUUUAUACCAUUCAGUCAGGUAGAAUACAG